AAAAAAAAAAAUGAAUCCUAGAUAGUUUUCCCUUUAAGUCAAGCGUCUUGU
rnacentral:pre_miRNA from 1 species